AGGCCGAUGAUCCAAUCGCAGCUUUUAGCAAGCUCGACAAGAACCCCAUUGGAACGGGACUCUUCCUCGACUGCGUAGGAAGCAAACUAACAAUUGCUUCCACCAUGACUUUUUGCUUCUUUAUCAAGUCUAAAUCCGCCCCUUUGACUUGACUGCGGAUAGGACACGCUGGAAGAAAUCCAGAUUAAGCACAACGAGCGAUUUGCCCCACCAAUCGGUAGGCGUUUCUGGCUCCAUCACUUUUCCCUGGAAGUUGUGGUCGAGCUUGGAGAGGCCGGAGGUGAGCUGCUCUUUGCAGGCAUUACUCGCGAUUGCAUUUAUGAGGCGUGAGACGAGGUUUAUGUCCUCUGCUACUGGCAAGAGCGUCCCACACUGAUGGAGCACCGAGAUCGAGUGGGAUAUGUUGGGAAGCACGGUGUCCUUGAUAUAUGCUUCUGCUCGAGAUUCUAGGUUCUUAUCGGCGAAUUCCUCGGUCAUUUCCAGGUAGUGAGCAAUGCAUCGCAGCGAAGCAAUGUUUGCUAAUGCAAUGUCGACGUUUAUGCCGUAACAGAACUUUGCAGCGAGCUCAAACGCCUCUGCACCUCCCGGGACAGCGGUGAGAUUUAUCCUGCAGAUUUUGGGGUCCUUCGCUUCCAACAAUAUUUUCCGGAUUCGUCCACUACGAGAAACGAGAGGAAACUGCAAAAGAGUCAAAUCUGUGAGUAGGCAAAUUUAAACAAGAAAAGGAAUUAAAGCCACAUGGAGUUUGAACUGAAUGUGCUCAGGCAUAGUAGUUAACAUCUUUCUUCUCUGGAAUUGUUAUGCAUAAUCGUGUGAUUAACGAGUGAUGGUAAUACAGAAUUUUCUUGGUUAA